rnacentral:rRNA from 1 species
UAGAGUUUGGAUCCUGGCUCAGAUUGAACGCUGGCGGCAGGCCUAACACAUGCAAGUCGAGCGGUAACAGGGGAAGCUUGCUUCUCGCUGACGAGCGGCGGACGGGUGAGUAAUGUAUGGGGAUCUGCCCGAUAGAGGGGGAUAACUACUGGAAACGGUAGCUAAUACCGCAUAAUCUCUUAGGAGCAAAGCAGGGGAACUUCGGUCCUUGCGCUAUCGGAUGAACCCAUAUGGGAUUAGCUAGUAGGUGAGGUAAUGGCUCACCUAGGCGACGAUCCCUAGCUGGUCUGAGAGGAUGAUCAGCCACACUGGGACUGAGACACGGCCCAGACUCCUACGGGAGGCAGCAGUGGGGAAUAUUGCACAAUGGGCGCAAGCCUGAUGCAGCCAUGCCGCGUGUAUGAAGAAGGCCCUAGGGUUGUAAAGUACUUUCAGUCGGGAGGAAGGC